rnacentral:rRNA from 1 species
AUUGAACGCUGGCGGCAGGCCUAACACAUGCAAGUCGAGCGGUAGAGAGAAGCUUGCUUCUCUUGAGAGCGGCGGACGGGUGAGUAAUGCCUAGGAAUCUGCCUAGUGGUGGGGGAUAACGUUCGGAAACGGACGCUAAUACCGCAUACGUCCUACGGGAGAAAGCGGGGGAUCUUCGGACCUCGCGCCAUUAGAUGAGCCUAGGUCGGAUUAGCUAGUUGGUGAGGUAAUGGCUCACCAAGGCGACGAUCCGUAACUGGUCUGAGGGGAUGAUCAGUCACACUGGAACUGAGACACGGUCUAGACUCCUACGGGAGGCAGCAGUGGGGAAUAUUGGACAAUGGGCGAAAGCCUGAUCCAGCCAUGCCGCGUGUGUGAAGAAGGUCUUCGGAUUGUAAAGCACUUUAAGUUGGGAGGAAGGGUAGUAACCUAAUACGUUGCUACUUUGACGUUACCGACAGAAUAAGCACCGGCUAACUUCGUGCCAGCCGCCGCAGUAACAC